rnacentral:lncRNA from 1 species
AUAUGUCUCCGUAGUAUUCCUGCUCCGAAGAUGUGCAUGGGUGAUCACGUGUUUAUUCUAUCUGGCGUGGACAUGGUUAAAGAAGACAAGAAUUAUGAGGAGGCAUCAUUUGAAUUCUACAUCAAAUAUAACGUUUACCCUGAAGAAGAAGAAGAAGAUGAAGAAGAAGAAGAAGAAGAAGAUAAAGAAGAAGAAGAUGAAGAAGAAGAAGAUUAUGAAGUAGAAGACGAUUUCAAGGUAAAGUCUAUCAAGGUGGAGAGAUGUG